rnacentral:rRNA from 1 species
UACGUAGGGGGCAAGCGUUGUCCGGAAUCAUUGGGCGUAAAGGGCGCGUAGGCGGCCCGGUAAGUCCGUUGUGAAAGUCAAAGGCUCAACCUUUGAACGCCGAUGGAUACUGCCGGGCUAGAGUCCGGAAGAGGCGAGUGGAAUUCCUGGUGUAGCGGUGAAAUGCGCAGAUAUCAGGAAGAACACCCGUGGCGAAGGCGGUUCUCUGGGACGGUACUGACGCUGAGACGCGAAAGCGUGGGGAGCGAACAGG